rnacentral:rRNA from 1 species
CAGGGAAUCUUGCACAAUGGGCGAAAGCCUGAUGCAGCGACGCCGCGUGAGGGAUGAAGGCCUUCGGGUCGUAAACCUCUUUCAGUAGGGAAGAAGCCACGGGUCACCGUGGUGACGGUACCUGCAGAAGAAGCCCCGGCUAACUACGUGCCAGCAGCCGCGGUAAAACGUAGGGGGCGAGCGUUGCCCGGAUUCACUGGGCGUAAAGCGCGUGUAGGCGGUCCGUUAAGUCGGAUGUGAAAUCUCCGAGCUCAACUCGGAAACUGCUUCCGAUACUGGCGGACUUGAGGAUGGUAGAGGUCGGUGGAAUACCAGGUGUACCGGUGAAAUGGACAGAUAUCUGGUGGAACACCAGUGGCGAAGGCGGCCGACUGGGCCAUUCCUGACGCUGAGACGCGAAAGCCAGGGGAGCGAACCGG